rnacentral:sRNA from 1 species
CACACUCUAAUCCUGCAGUUGACUCAAUAGACGAAAACAAAUAGAGGUGUAGGUGUUUCGAUCAUUUGUAAUGUAUAACUGUAUUAGUGUUGUAAAGUUUGGAAUAAUUAAUGCCAUGACCUAGUUACAAUAUGUGCUACUUAGUUAUCAAAAUCGUUUACUGUUAACUCAAAUAAUACUACAAAAUUGUCUAGUUUUUAAAUCACAUUACUUUUCCUUUGUCAGUCAAUAAUUGUUUGGAGUUUUAGAGAAAUCACUUAAUCUGAAAAAUUUCUUGUAAAUCUAAAAUUUUUGUUCAAUUCCCCCAGAAAAUGUAAGGAGAGUUGCCUACAUACACAAAGACUGCCAUACACAUACGAUUAAUGGUCUGACUAGGCAAUGAGUUGAGAUUUGGACCAAUUAAAACGUAAAUAAGUCAAAAGACAAGUCAAAGCAAAAGAAAAAAAAAACGCUCACAUAAGGCAAACAAAAAACAACAACAUUAUACAACGCCAUAGUUAAGUACAAUAAUAAGAGUGGGGAUUUUGGGAAACACAAGAAAAGCGCCUCUAAAUAAACAAACAACAAUAGCAACAAAACCAAACACACACAGCCACCAACAGAAACUAGAAAAGCGAAUCAAUACGCCACCGUGAUCACCGUUAUUUAAUAAGAUCUUAGGUGAGCAAGUGAGACUGGGAAAGAGAAAGAGAGCGAGCGCGAGAGAGCGAAAGAAAAUGUUUGCAGCCUAGGCCGGCCUGCCAAAAGUUAGUGUUAUGUCCAAGGCUGAGUGGGUGUUUGGGUGUAUGUGUGUGUGUGUGUGUCUUGCUGCAAAUGUGUAUAGGUGAGCCAAGCAUGGGCUAAAGAAAUGCAGACAGCCAAGGAAAUGAUGAAACGAUCUCACGCAUACCUAUAUACUUUAAUGUUUUUACUCUUAAACAAUGGAACUAUUAAACGAACUUAAAGCAUGCGCCAUAGAUUUGUAACGGACAGCUAAUUUCAUGUUUCUGUUAAGUUUAAAUAGGUCCCCAUUCUCUAAGGUACACGUAAAAAACAAAUUGUUUUACAAUUUUUUCUAUAA